rnacentral:rRNA from 4 species
GAUCAGGUAGGAAUACCCGCUGAACUUAAGCAUAUCAAUAAGCGGAGGA